rnacentral:misc_RNA from 1 species
GAUGAAGAACGUAGCGAAAUGCGAUACUUGGUGUGAAUUGCAGAAUCCCGUGAACCAUCGAGUCUUUGAACGCAAGUUGCGCCCGAAGCCUCGGCUAAGGGCACGUCUGCCUGGGCGUCACGCAUCGCGUCUCCCCCAAACCGCCAAGGCGGAGGGGAAGGAAGAUGGCUUCCCGUGCCUCACCCGGGCGCGGUUGGCCUAAAUUUGGAGCCCGCGGCACUUAGCUCUCGCGGCGAUAGGUGGUGAACAAGGCCUUGGCCGUGCAAACAACCCGCUGCGAAGCUCUAUGUCACGUGCGCUCGUCGGACCCUUUGAAGUUGCCUUUGGUGACUUAAAACCUUUGCGACCCCAGGUCAGGCGGGGCUACCCGCUGAAUUUAAGCAUAUCAAUAAGCGGAGGGA